UCUGGUUAUUAUUACACUCUUAUAAACUUGAAUUGUUUUUCAAAUGUAUGUUAUAAGUCUGUUUACAUUUGAGUACAAGAAACUCCUUUCCCUGUAGAUAUCAAAAUAAUUUCUGGACUGGAAGAGUGUGGGAGGAUUUGGAGCUGUGCUUAUGGUAUGUGAAGAAUCAAGAUGACAUAGGUGCUGGUUGCAAGCUUGGGAAGGCUCUCCUUAGUUAUUACUACAUGUGUAUAUCAAGGAAAUAA
rnacentral:lncRNA from 1 species